rnacentral:rRNA from 1 species
GGAAGGGAAUAUAGCGGCACGACUGGUGAGUAAUGCGCGAGUAAGUUACCUCUAAGUCGGGGAUAGCCUUGCGAAAGCGAGAGUAAUACCCGAUGUGUUUACAGCUGCACAAGCAGUUGUAAGUAAAGGAGGCCCGCAAGGGUUUUUGUUUAGAGAUGAGCUCGCGUCCUAUCAGCUAGUUGGUAGGGUAAUGGCCUACCAAGGCUUUUGACAUGUAGCUGGCCUGAGAGGGUGGUCAGCCACAUGGGGACUGAGACACUGCCCCAACUCCUACGGGAGGCUGCAGUCGAGGAUAUUUAGCAAUGGACGAAAGUCUGACUAUGUGACGCCGCGUGAGGGAUGAAGGUCUUCGGAUCGUAAACCUCUUUCGAUAGGGAAGAAAACCUAUUCUUAACGGAAUAGACUGACGGUACCUAAAAG